rnacentral:tRNA from 1 species
GGUGGCUUAGUGGUAGAGUACUUGCCUAGCAAGCAUGAAGCCCUGGGUUCAAUUCCUCAGUACCA